UACGUAGGGAGCAAGCGUUGUCCGGAAUCAUUGGGCGUAAAGCGCGCGUAGGUGGCUUCGUAAGUCCGUUGUGAAAGUCAAAGGCUCAACCUUUGAAAGCCGAUGGAUACUGUGGAGCUAGAGUACGGAAGAGGCGAGUGGAAUUCCUGGUGUAGCGGUGAAAUGCGCAGAUAUCAGGAGGAACACCAAUGGCGAAGGCAGCUCGCUGGGACGGUACUGACGCUGAGGAGCGAAAGCGUGGGGAGCGAACAGG
rnacentral:rRNA from 1 species